UUUCGACGGACAUCGACAAAACCCCCCAGCCACUGUCACGUCGGCCACCCAGCCACCGGACCGGUCAAGUUUUGACCGGCGUCGCACCCCAAGCCAGCUCCGACCUUCCUCCUACCUAUGCUUUCUCGACGGUGCUAUGCUAUCACCGAACACCAAAACCCUAGUUGCCUAGCUCGGACGACGACAACGAUGAUGCUGAUGUGGAACGGUGCGAGGGACCUAGUGUUAGAUUCGGACGACGACAACGAUGAUGCUGAUAUGGACUUUCUGUUGGUGCCAAUUUCGUUUGACUUGUUCGCAUUUUUAUGUGCAUCUGUUAUCCAAUUGCGUACCCAUUUGCCAAGGUUCUGGAUGCUGUACUUGGUCAUAGUGAUGAUUUGUUUAGGCGAGCACAGUUGAAAGCCCUAGUCUCUAUUCAUGGCAAAGAGGCUGGUAAGGGAGGUGAACUCACGCAUGAUGAGACAACAAUCAUCAGUGGAGCGCUU